rnacentral:misc_RNA from 1 species
GCAGGAGAAUGGAGGGAUGAUGGUGUAUCUCACAAGUCUAGCAGUAUAGUUUCUCGAAAUGUUGAGGUUCGGGAGGGUCCAGUUGGCCAGUCACCCAAAGAAGCUAUCAAAAUGAUUGAUAGAGACAAAGUCAAGGCAGCACUUGAGAAAAGAAGAAAAUCACGUGGAGAGAUGUCCAGGAAGAAAGAUGUGAUGGAUGAAGAUGAUCUCAUUGAGAGAGAGCUGGAAGAUGGUGUAGAAUUAG